GAUGAAGAACGUAGCGAAAUGCGAUAAGUAAUGUGAAUUGCAGAAUUCAGUGAAUCAUCGAAUUUUUGAACGCACAUUGCGCCCCCCAGUAUUCUGGCGGGCAUGCCUGUUCGAGCGUCAUUUCAACCAUCAAGCCCUGCUUGUGUUGGGGUCCUGCGGCUGCCCGCAGGCCCUGAAAACCAGUGGCGGGCUCGCUAGUCACACCGAGCGCAGUAGCACAUCUCGCUCAGGGCGUGCGGCGGGCUCCAGCCGUUAAAGCACCCACCUUUCGCAAGGUUGACCUCGGAUCAGGUAGGAAUACCCGCUGAACUUAAGCAUAUCAAUAAGCGGAGGA
rnacentral:misc_RNA from 1 species